rnacentral:lncRNA from 1 species
AAUUGCUUUAUCUACCAAUCCUAAACUAUUAUAUCUUGAUCUUUACUCAAUCCUAAUUACACACCCACAUUGAAAGACCUAUCUUAAUUCAGACUUCAAAAUCUUACAAACGUCCAAGUCCCUCCUUUGAAAUGCUACUAAGACUGCAGUAAGAAUACAUAGCAUGCAGUGACUGAGAGGAAGAGAGAUACUAACACUUGAAGUAAUCCAGUCUAUCAAUAGGAGAUGGACUGCUUUGAUUUAAAGCGAUUUACAAAAGGAUUUGGAUACCUCAUCUCUCCUGUUUCGCCAAGGUCUUGACUCAUCGCUGCAGGUUGUAUAAUUAGUCUCAUUAAUCUAGCAAAUGAUGGCAAAAUGCUUGGUAAUGAUGUCUAACUGGGGUUCCUUUCCAAGGAACCUU